rnacentral:rRNA from 1 species
UGCAGUCGAGCGGCAGCAAGAGGAUCUUGCUCCUUGGGUGGCCAGUGGGGGACGGGUGAGGAAUGAUCUGAAUCUACUUUUUCGUGGGGGAUAACGUAGGGAAACUUACACUAAUACCGCACACCACCUACAGGUGAAAGCACGGGACCUUCUGGCCUUGCGCGAUUGAAUGAGCCGAAGUCGGAUUAUCUAGUUGGCGGGGUAAAGGCCCACCACGGCGACUAUCCGUUCCUAGUCUAAGAGGAUGAUCACCCACACUGAAACUGAGACCCGAUCCAUACUCCAAGCGGAGGCGGCGAUGGGGAAUAUUGGACAAUGGGCGCAAUCCUGAUCCACCCCUACCGUGUGGAUGAACAAAGCCUUCUGGUUGUAAAGCCCUUUUGUUGAGAAAAAAUUCCUUCUGGCUAAUACCCGGUUGGGAUGAC